rnacentral:rRNA from 1 species
UGAGGAAUAUUGGUCAAUGGGCGAGAGCCUGAACCAGCCAAGUAGCGUGCAGGAUGACGGCCCUCCGGGUUGUAAACUGCUUUUAGUUGGGAAUAAAACAGCGGACUUGUCCGCUCUUGUAUGUACCUUCAGAAAAAGGACCGGCUAAUUCCGUGCCAGCAGCCGCGGUAAUACGGAAGGUCCGGGCGUUAUCCGGAUUUAUUGGGUUUAAAGGGAGCGUAGGCGGAUUGUUAAGUCAGCGGUUAAAGGGUGUGGCUCAACCAUGCAUUGCCGUUGAAACUGGCGAUCUUGAGUGCAGACAGGGAUGACGGAAUUCGUGGUGUAGCGGUGAAAUGCUUAGAUAUCACGAAGAACUCCGAUCGCGAAGGCAGGUGUCCGGGCUGCAACUGACGCUGAGGCUCGAAAGUGUGGGUAUCAAACAGG